rnacentral:rRNA from 1 species
UACGUAGGGUGCAAGCGUUGCCCGGAUUUAUUGGGCGUAAAGGGCGCGUAGGCGGAUGGCACAGUCAGAUGUGAAAUUCCCGGGCUUAACCUGGGGGCUGCAUUUGAUACGUGUUGUCUAGAGUGAGGAAGAGGGUUGUGGAAUUCCCAGUGUAGAGGUGAAAUUCGUAGAUAUUGGGAAGAACACCGGUGGCGAAGGCGGCAACCUGGUCCUUGACUGACGCUGAGGCGCGAAAGCGUGGGGAGCAAACAGG